UUGAUCCUGGCUCAGAUUGAACGCUGGCGGCAGGCCUAACACAUGCAAGUCGAACGGUAACAGGAAGCAGCUUGCUUCUUUGCUGACGAGUGGCGGACGGGUGAGUAAUGUCUGGGAAACUGCCUGAUGGAGGGGGAUAACUACUGGAAACGGUAGCUAAUACCGCAUAACGUCGCAAGACCAAAGAGGGGGACCUUCGGGCCUCUUGCCAUCGGAUGUGCCCAGAUGGGAUUAGCUAGUAGGUGGGGUAACGGCUCACCUAGGCGACGAUCCCUAGCUGGUCUGAGAGGAUGACCAGCCACACUGGAACUGAGACACGGUCCAGACUCCUACGGGAGGCAGCAGUGGGGAAUAUUGCACAAUGGGCGCAAGCCUGAUGCAGCCAUGCCGCGUGUAUGAAGAAGGCCUUCGGGUUGUAAAGUACUUUCAGCGGGGAGGAAGGGAGUAAAGUUAAUACCUUUGCUCAUUGACGUUACCCGCAGAAGAAGC
rnacentral:rRNA from 1 species